rnacentral:misc_RNA from 1 species
AGCAGCCGCGGUAAUUCCAGCUCCAAUAGCGUAUAUUAAAGUUGUUGCAGUUAAAAAGCUCGUAGUUGAAUUUCGGGAUUGACGUGAUGGUCGUGCCUUAAGGGGUAUGAACUGUCGCUGUUGAUUUCUCACCUUCUGGAGAAACUUGAUGUCCUUAAUUGGGUGUCUUGCGGAUCCAGGACCUUUACCUUGAAAAAUUAGAGUGUUUAAAGCAGGCAUUUUUGCUCGAAUACAUUAGCAUGGAAUAAUAGAAUAGGACGGCAUGGUUCUAUUUUGUUGGUUUCUAGGAUCACCGUAAUGAUUAAUAGGGAUAGUUGGGGGCAUUAGUAUUCAAUUGUCAGAGGUGAAAUUCUUGGAUUUAUUGAAGACUAACUACUGCGAAAGCAUUUGCCAAGGAUGUUUUCAUUAAUCAAGAACGAAAGUUAGGGGAUCGAAGACGAUCAGAUACCGUCGUAGUCUUAACCAUAAACUAUGCCGACUAGGAAUCAGACGAUGUUAAUUUUUUAAUGACUCGUUUGGC